UACGUAGGUGGCAAGCGUUGUCCGGAAUUAUUGGGCGUAAAGCGCGCGCAGGCGGCCUUUUAAGUCUGAUGUGAAAGCCCACGGCUCAACCGUGGAAGGUCAUUGGAAACUGAAAGGCUUGAGUACAGAAGAGGAAAGCGGAAUUCCACGUGUAGCGGUGAAAUGCGUAGAGAUGUGGAGGAACACCAGUGGCGAAGGCGGCUUUCGGUCUGUAACUGACGCUGAAACACGAAAGCGUGGGUAGCAAACAGG
rnacentral:rRNA from 1 species